AUUUAUGGAGAGUUUGAUCCUGGCUCAGAGUGAACGCUGGCGGCGUGCUUAACACAUGCAAGUCGAGCGAGAUUCUACAGCACACCGUAGAGUCUAGCGGCAGACGGGUGAGUAACACGUAGGAAACUUUCCCUGAAAUGGAGGAUACCCCCGAGAAAUCGGGGCUAAUACUGCAUAAGACCACAUUCCGGCAUCGGAAAGAGGUCAAAGGCCCGCAAGGGUCGUUUCGGGAUGGUCCUGCGUCCUAUCAGCUAGUUGGUGAGGUAACGGCUCACCAAGGCUAUGACGGGUAGCCGGCCUGAAAGGGCGAUCGGCCACACUGGAACUGAGACACGGUCCAGACUCCUACGGGAGGCAGCAGUGGGGAAUUUUGGACAAUGGGCGA
rnacentral:rRNA from 1 species